rnacentral:rRNA from 1 species
AGCGAACGCUGGCGGCAUGCCUAACACAUGCAAGUCGCACGGGGGGGCUUCGGCCUCCCAGUGGCGGACGGGUGAGGAACGCGUAGGGACCUGUCGAGGGGUGGGGGAUAACCGCGGGAAACUGCGGCUAAUACCGCAUGACGCCGCGGCGUGACAGCCGGGGCCAAAGGCGAAAGCCGCCCGCCGAGGGGCCUGCGUCCGAUUAGCUGGUUGGCGGGGUAGCGGCCCACCAAGGCGUCGAUCGGUAGCUGGUCUGAGAGGGUGAUCAGCCACACCGGGACUGAGACACGGCCCGGACUCCUACGGGAGGCAGCAGUGGGGAAUAUUGGACAAGGGGCGCAAGCCUGAUCCAGCAAUGCCGCGUGGGUGAAGAAGGUCUUCGGAUUGUAAAGCCCUUUCGGCGGGGACGAUGGUGACGGUACCCGCAGAAGAAGCCCCGGCUAACUUCGUG